AUGCAAGUCGAACGGUAACAGAAAGCAGCUUGCUGCUUUGCUGACGAGUGGCGGACGGGUGAGUAAUGUCUGGGGAUCUGCCUGAUGGAGGGGGAUAACUACUGGAAACGGUAGCUAAUACCGCAUAACGUCGCAAGACCAAAGAGGGGGACCUUCGGGCCUCUUGCCAUCAGAUGAACCCAGAUGGGAUUAGCUAGUAGGUGGGGUAACGGCUCACCUAGGCGACGAUCCCUAGCCGGUCUGAGAGGAUGACCAGCCACACUGGAACUGAGACACGGUCCAGACUCCUACGGGAGGCAGCAGUGGGGAAUAUUGCACAAUGGGCGCAAGCCUGAUGCAGCCAUGCCGCGUGUAUGAAGAAGACCUUCGGGUUGUAAAGUACUUUCAGCGAGGAGGAAGGUGGUGAGUUUAAUACACUCAUCAAUUGACGUUACUCGCAGAAGAAGCACCGGCUAACUCCGUGCCAGCAGCCGCGGUAAUACGGAGGGUGCAAGCGUUAAUCGGAAUUACUGGGCGUAAAGCGCACGCAGGCGGUCUGUCAAGUCGGAUGUGAAAUCCCCGGGCUCAACCUGGGAACUGCAUCCGAAACUGGCAGGCUUGAGUC
rnacentral:rRNA from 1 species